AUUGAACGCUGGCGGCAGGCUUAACACAUGCAAGUCGAACGAGUGGCGGACGGGUGAGUAAUGCUUGGGAAUCUGGCUUAUGGAGGGGGAUAACGACGGGAAACUGUCGCUAAUACCGCGUACCAUAGGAUGAGCCCAAGUGGGAUUAGGUAGUUGGUGGGGUAAUGGCCUACCAAGCCGACGAUCUCUAGCGGGUCUGAGAGGAUGACCGGACAAACGGGGAUUGGGACCGGGCCCGGAGUCCUAGGGGAGGCAGCAGUGGGGAAGAUUGACCAAUGGGGGCAGCCGGUCGCAGCCAGGCCGCGUGAAGGAAGAAGGCCUCCGGGUUGGAAAGUACUUUCGGUGACGAGGCGUUCAUCACAGAAGAAGCACCGGCUAACUUCGUGCCAGCAGCGGCGGUAAUC
rnacentral:rRNA from 1 species